rnacentral:rRNA from 1 species
UAGGCUUGAUAUCCAACAAAUUCUGUAGAGAUACGGAAGUGCUAGCUUGCUAGAAUGUUGAGACAGGUGCUGCACGGCUGUCGUCAGCUCGUGUCGUGAGAUGUUGGGUUAAGUCCCGCAACGAGCGCAACCCUCGUCCUUAGUUGCUAACGAUUCGGUCGAGCACUCUAAGGAGACUGCCUUCGUAAGGAGGAGGAAGGUGGGGACGACGUCAAGUCAUCAUGGCCCUUACGCCUAGGGCGACACACGUGCUACAAUGGCAUAUACAAUGAGACGCAAUACCGCGAGGUGGAGCAAAUCUAUAAAAUAUGUCCCAGUUCGGAUUGUUCUCUGCAACUCGAGAGCAUGAAGCCGGAAUCGCUAGUAAUCGCAAAUCAGCCAUGUUGCGGUGAAUACGUUCCCGGGUCUUGUACUCACCGCCCGUCACACCAUGGGAGUUGAUUUCACUCGAAGUGGAAAUACUAAACUAGUUAUCCCCCACAGUGGAAUCAGCGACUGGGGUGAAGUCGUAACAAGGUAACCGUAGGAGAACCUGCGGUUGGAUCACCUCCUUUCUA